rnacentral:tRNA from 1 species
GAGGGUAUAGCUCAGUGGUAGAGUGCCUGCCUAGCACAUGUAUAUGAGAUCCUGGGUUCAAUCCCCAGUACCUCUA